rnacentral:rRNA from 1 species
GAUGAACGCUGGCGGCGUGCCUAAUACAUGCAAGUCGAGCGAACAGACGAGGAGCUUGCUCCUCUGACGUUAGCGGCGGACGGGUGAGUAACACGUGGAUAACCUACCUAUAAGACUGGGAUAACUUCGGGAAACCGGAGCUAAGACCGGAUAAUCUAUCAAACCGCAUGGUUCAAUAGUGAAAGACGGUUUUGUGGUCCCUUAUAGAUGGAUCCGGUCGGCAUUAGCGAGUUGGUAAGGUAACGGCUUACCAAGGCAACGAGGCGUAGCCGACGGGGGAGGGUGAUCGGCCACACGGGAACUGAGACACGGUCCCUACUCCUACGGGAGGCAGCAGUAGGGAAUGUUCCGCAAUGGGCGAAAGCCUGACGGAGCAACGCCGCGUGAGUGAUGAAGGUCUUCGGAUCGUAAAACUCUGUUAUUAGGGAAGAACAAAUGUGUAAGUAACUAUGCACGUCUUGACGGUACCUAAUCAGAAAGCCACGGCUAACUACGUG